rnacentral:rRNA from 1 species
UACGUAGGGUGCAAGCGUUAAUCGGAAUUACUGGGCGUAAAGCGUGCGCAGGCGGUAAUGUAAGACAGGUGUGAAAUCCCCGGGACUUAACCUGGGAACUGCAUUUGUGACUGCAUUGCUGGAGUGCGGCAGAGGGGAUGGAAUUCCGCGUGUAGCAGUGAAAUGCGUAGAUAUGCGGAGGAACACCGGAUGGCGAAGGCAAUCCCCGUGGGCCUGCACUGACGCUCAUGCACGAAAGCCGUGGGGAGCAAACAGG